GUGCUCUGGAGGGCUCUGGGUGCUGCCAUGCCCCGGGCAGGGGGUCCCACCCUCACUCACCGCGGUGCUCAGCAGCUUGCCCCAGUCUGGGCGCAGGUAGAAGACGACCCCUCUCCAGGCUCCAGGCAGGGUGGCCCCUCGGAUGAGCAGGAUGAGCAGGACAAUGUAGGGCAGCGUGGCUGUCACCCACACCACCUGAGGGAGGCAGCUGUCACCCCGUGUCACCACCCAGCACCCAAACCCUGCCCUGGGCUUGCUCAGGGUGGCCUCGGGCAGGGGAUGAGGAGGAGGUGACAUCCCCUCUUGCAGUCAGGCUGAAGUAGACGAUGGUGAAGAUGAGGAAGAGGCAGAGGAGCAGCUGCCAGCGGAUCCCCCCAAUGUCAUACAGACCCCCGGAUUUCUGGAUCUCCAGGACCUUCCUCCUGCAGGCAGGGAUCCCCAGGGCUGGGAGCAGGCUCAGCCCCAGGCAGGCAGUCCCUGAGCUCCUCAGGAGCAUUCCCACCCCAGAGCCUCCUCAGGGAUGUGCUCAGCUCACACCACCCACAUCCGUGCACCUACGUGUAAAACUCCUCAGCGGGGGACCUGGAGAAGUUGGUCCAGGUCACGUUGCUCUUCCCAAAGUAGUUGGUGCAGUCAGGGGUGUUCCAGGGGUUGUCACAGCUUGCCCAGGGCAGGGUGCCCGAGAAGGACGAGUAGAAGUAGUAGAGAGCCCAGGCAAUGAUGGUGUUGUAGUAGAAGGAGACGUAGAGGCCGAUGAUGCAGAUGGCAAAGCCGAUGCCUGGGAAAAGCAGGAUCAGGCUCAGCUUUGGGGCACGGCUUUGGGGACCUGCUGGGGGUCACGGUGUCACCCCCAGCUGGGGCUCUCUCACCUUUAAAGAUGGGGCAGAUGCGCUUCCAGAUGGGGAUGGCACCUGUCCUGUGGAACUGCCCCAGGGCCAGCUCCAUGUAGAAGAGGGGCACCCCCCCAAAAACAGCCAUCAGCGUGUAGGGGAUGAGGAAGGCUCCUGCAGGGGGGGAGCAGAGCAGGGUGAACACCAGGCUGCCAGGGGACCAUGGUAUUGUCACCUCUCUCCCUCCUGGCACUGCCCCAGCAGGUUUGGAUGUGUUUGUGAGAAGCUUUGGAAAUGAUCUGGUCGGAGGAGCUCAGAGAUGUGAGACCCUGCUUGGUGUUCCAGCUUGUGGGCUCCCAGGACAGCCCUGCUGGAGUCCCAGCCCUUGCUGGGGAGGCACCAUUUGGCCAGGAUGGAACAAAAAACCACACAAACCAUUGGGACACAGGGGAGGGGACACCCAGCACCCCUCAGGUCUGGAAGAGUUUUGGAGGAAAAUCUGACUGAAUAUGCACAGCCACCCCAAGACACAUAAUUAGUGCUGUAAUCUGCAUUAUUCAUUACAUCCUCAUUUUUACUGGGGCUACACUUGUACCCCAUGGAGUUUUUGGAAGUGGAACUGCUCUCUGAGUUCUGCUGGGAUUAGUUAAUUUAACCCCCACAGCUCCUCCCUCUGACAGAUGUGAGUGUGGUGCACCCCAACAUUCCCAGUAUCCCCAAAACCCUCAGCACCUCCAGCAUCUCUGGCAUCCCCAGCACUCCCAGUAUCCCCAGUCACCUCCCAGUCACCUCCAGUAUCCCAAACAUCCCCAGCACCAUCCUGCAGCCCCCCUGUCUGCCUGGCAGGACUGGCCCAACAGGACCAAGUGUUUUCAGUGUUUUCCUUCCAGGCAGAGCCCGGGUUGUGGGUGAGUCCAGUGCUGCCCAUCCCAGUGUUCCCCCUCCAUGGGGCUAUGCUCCCCCAGAGCUGCUCCCUGAAUUCCUCACCCUCCCAAGUGCAUGGGGCAGUGGAAACCUCCCACCCAAAGCACAGGCACGCAGGGGGGCUCAGCUCUGCUCCCAAUCCCACAGGAGCAACUCACAAAUAACUCUGUUUCAACGUGGGCACCUGGGAUCCACAGUUUUGCCUUGAGUAUGGAACUAAUUAUCUCUUUCUAAUUUUCCCAAGCAGUAGAGGAUGCUCCCCGAAAGCCAACUUUGGCAAUUAAAUCCGCUGCGCUUUCCCAAACAGCUCAAAAUUCCAAUCCCUCUUUUUCAUUUCCAUGGGGGGGGGGGGGGUUUCUAUCCUGCUCCAUUCCCAGCAAUUUAUUUAGUUGCCGUUUACUGAAGGAUUUUCCCUUUGUGGUGUUUCUGUGUCUUCUCUCCCCGUUGAUCCCUCAAAGCUGGAGCUGCUCGUGAGGUCCAGCACUGCCAGCCAGGAUCCACAGCAGGAGGGUGGGAUGCUCGUCAGGAUGGUUUUAAACCAGGAGCCAUCCCAAAGGGCAGCUUCCCAGAGUCCCAAAAUCAUGAAGUGUGCGAACCUCCCAGCUCAAAUUUAAGGACCUUUAUCCUUUUAUGCAUUUUGGACCAUGCUAAUUUCCCUUUGUGAUCCUAGAGCUGCUAAUGCACCUCUAACCCCACUGGGAAAGGAGGGGAAGACCAGGAAUGGAGGGAAAGACCAGGAAAUGAGGAAAUGACCCCAGGGAAGGAGGAUGGAGGGAGAGGAGGAGGAUUUUGAAUGAAGAGAGACACAAACAGAAAAGACACAGAUAUUGGGAGAAGUUGGGUCGGUCUUUAAACCGCCCUGUCUGAAGUGGAGCAGCUGGAAACAAAGAAGGAGAAGAAACAGUGAAUUCUUCAGGGUGGGAAAGAUGGAAAAGGAGGAAAAAGGCAUCUUUUCUCCAAAAGAAGACUUAAAUAAGCCCAGUGGUGUCCUUACCCCCUCCGUUCUGGUAGCAGAUGUAAGGGAACCGCCAGACGUUGCCCAGAUCGACGGCGAAUCCGACGACGGAGAGGAGGAAAUCCAUCUUUUUGCUCCACUUGUCCCUGGGGUGGGUCUGGGGGUUUGGGGCUGCAGGGCUGGCAGGGGGACCCAGGCAGGGCUGCUCUGCCAUCCUGCCACCCCGGCAAAUCCUGCAGGAUUCAGGCUGAGUAACUUGGGAAGGAUUUCUGUGUGGCUGAUGACAGAUCCGAGGAGGGGAGGGUCAGGCUGACUGCGCUUCCCCACCUCCCGCUGGAAACCCACGGCACGGAGAGCAGGGAAACAGAGCCGUGUUCUGAUCAAAGGCUGCCGGGGAGGGCAGCCCCCGAGCGAGGGGACCAGCCUGACCCUGCAGGGACCGGCAUCACCUCACGGGGACCAGCCUGACCCUGCAGGGACCGGCAUCACCUCGUGGGGACCAGCCUGACCCUGCAGGGACCGGCAUCACCUCGUGGGGACCAACCUGACCCUGCAGGGACAGAUAUCACCUCGUGGGGACCAGCCUGACCCUGCAGGGACCGGCAUCACCUCACGGGGACCAGCCUGACCCUGCAGGGACCGGCAUCACCUCACGGGGACCAGCCUGACCCUGCAGGGACCGGCAUCACCUCACAGGGACCAGCCUGACCCUGCAGGGACCGGCAUCACCUCGUGGGGACCGGCCUCACCUUGUGUGAAUAAACAUCACCCCGUGGGUCCCACCCAGGGGAGGGGAUUCCAGCUCAGUUUUUGGGGCUGAGGUGGUAAAAUGGGACUGGGUUUCCUCCUUCCUCCUGACAGAUCCUUAUUUCUCUCUCCGUGGUUUGUUUUGCUAAGGAGGUGACAUUGAUGCUUGCAGGGGGAAUUCGGGAAUCAUGGAGCGGUUUGGGAUGGAAGGGACCUUUAAAGGUCACCUCAUCCAUCUGGGCUCGGCAGGUCUCUCUGGGGUGGGAAUUGCUGGGAAAAAGCCACACGAAAGUGAAAUAACUUUCACAGCUGAGCUGUGACCAGGAGGGGAUAGCAGCGUCCCCAAAGCCACCGCUCUGCCCUGUGACAGUUUCACAGCAAAAUUCAUUGCAGUGAAACGUGUCUGUGCAGGGCUUGCACAGACCUGGGGUCACCGGGUUCUCCCGGGGCUCUGGGGGCCUCCAGCCCCGGCUUUGCCAGCCUUCCCCAGCUUUAAUUAAAAGAAGCUCUGGGAGAGACGGAGCCGGGGCUGCGGCUCCGGGGCCAUGGUGAGCGGGUUGCUGUGACGACGGUGACAUUGUGACGCAGCUGCCCGGCACGGGAAGCCUCUGGACACUGUUAAUCCCUCAGGCACACACACGGGGACCCCUUAGAAACCUCCAGUUAAAAGCACAUUUGUGUA